ensembl:lncRNA
CCUCGGCUUCCUGAAGGACGCAGUGGGGCCGCCCGGCGCUGCCUGCCUCCAGGGUGGUUGUGAGAGGCGGGUGGGGGCAGGUGUGACAGUGCUUGGACUGUAGUCUCCACAAACAGGACGGGUGCCGAGAUGGAGCAGGCGUCUGGUGCUUGUUUGUUAGGGAAAACAGCUUCAGAAAGUAGACUUCAGAGCAGACGGCUCUCCCCACCAACUGCAAACCAGUGAAAACUGGCCUGAGUUGACUACACUUAACGGAGCCAAGGAAACCUGACUUAAGUCCUCAACGAGCAAACCUUUAACUGGAGACCCCAGAAGAGAAGCCUCGGGGUCUGGUCUUGCCACACCCACCUGCCACUUUAGCUCGGGUCAGGCACUGUCCCUCCCUGGACCUUCCCACGAGCACUGGGGCCGGGAGGGUGAGGAGAGGCUCAGAUGAGGCUGGGCUCGUGAGGAGCCACGCUCACCCUCACCUUAGCACCCUCAUGCCUGGACUGCAGACCUGGCUCUAAACUUCCUAGCGGCCACUGGGAAGAGAAACGACCAGAUAGAGAUUGUCUGAAGCAAAAAACAAAUGUGAUUUCUCAGGAAAAGCUUCCCUCGUCCUGACAGGAAAAGCACAGCAGUGUCUCCUGCGCGGCAUCACUGACGUGCCGGGCACGCAUCCCUCGCGGAGGCAACAGCGAUGGGGUCCUACAGCUUUACAAACACAGCUCAGACGUGGCCCUGCAGAGAUGGCGAGGCCAGCCUGGAGGCCCCUGCACCAUGUCAACAUCGAGCUCACACGUUUGGCUGCGCCCCGUGCGGGCUGCGGGCACCCCGACAGCGGGGCACGUGGCAGAGGUAUCGGGUGGUGGCACCGCACUCUCAAGAUUCACAGAACAUGGUAGGCCCACCUGAUUGGCAUGGCACUGAGUCCUGUACAGCUUUUAAAAAGACAAUUAUGACACAGAGUUCAAGUCCAGGAGAACUGUACAGUAAUUGAGUACAAAGUUUGGUGGCCUUGCCCGUGGCCCGCUGGGACAGAUGCCAUUUGAGCUCUGCCUUGAUUCUGUCACCCGGGUGGCAGCCAGCUGGGUGAGUGGUCACAGGCUGGGGCCAGGGGUUCACCAAUGAGCACACAGCCCUUUUUUGCCAGCAGGUGGGGGGUGGCCUUCCCCCCACCCCCACGAGCCCUGGGAAUUCGGCACGUGUGGGUGAGAACCCAGAGGGGAAGGAAGAGCCUGGGGUGCUGCCAGAGGUCUGAGUGUGCUGGGGCCCUCUAAUCUCAGGGGGCGGGCUUCUCUAAACCCAGCUGAAUGCUGCUGGCAUCCCUGCCCCACUCGUGUCCUGAGGCCCAGCCAGCCAGGGGCAGAGAACACUGGCUAAGAGGAUCCUGGCUCAAGGUGGGCAGACUUCCUCCAGCGGCAACAAAACAAUGCAAAAAAGCCCCUGUGGAACCUAGAGCCACCAAGGGUGGUGGCAACAGCAGCUGGUAACAGCCCCCACCGCCUGCCCGUCCUGAGGCCCACAGGGGAGCCACGGCCGCCCCUCACUGGCACCAGGUGAAGCUAAGGCACAGCACGGGCCGCGGUGCGACUGGGCACUACUUCCAAGAAGGGCACUGCAUUCACUUCGUGUGCACUUCACUCUGCUCAGAACAGUAUGUGCAUUUUUAUAGUUUCCCUGAAUGGUCUUGUGUCAAAAAAGUUUUCUUUGCCAAUAAAAAAUAGGAAAAUUACACAUGUAGUAAAAAUACGGGGGGAGUAUUUCUUCAUAGAAACCCUCAGGGCUGGCUCGAGGCGGAGGGAGAGCAGGAGAGCCCGGAACAUCAUCUGCUGUGCAAAGUCCAGCUCGGAGCCAUCUCCUCAGGGCCGGCCGCAACUCGCCCGGCGAGGCCGUGGCAGUGGGCCAAGUGCAAACUCUGCGUGUGGCUUUGAAACACCCACGUUCAGGAGAGGAGGGGGUGACUGACGACCACCCCACACAGAUUAAGCAAGCACCUUCCGGGCUAGCCCACCCAACCAACCCGUACCAGGGGCUGCGGCGGGCGGCGGGCUGGGACACACACAACUGUCUUUUGAAAACAAACCAGAAAUGAUGAACCAUGCUUACUAGAUAAAGCUGCAACAGGAGGACCACGAUUCUAAACAGGAACGGAGGGAGGCUUUUUCCUCCAAACUCGUGAGUUCAUCAACACUACGAGACUUAGAAAUGAUACCGAGAACGCAAACCAGCGCAACCACAGGGAUGCCAGGCGGAGGCCCAGCACACACAGCCGCCUGGGUGUACACGACUGGUUUCUACGUCUACUUACCACUGACCUACAGUUCUAAAAUCAGAUGGACAUCCCGGCCCAGGGCACCGGAGCCCUUGGCAGAGCACCUGGUCCUCGAAGCCUCCCCGGUGUGUGCGGAACCCCGGCCAGCAGGCGCAGGUGAGGGAGCCUCCCAGGAGGCCGAGGGCCACUCACUGGAGGAUGAAGCCCGGCUGGUGAGGCAGCCGGGGUGGGGGUCUCUGGGGGAGAGGUGGCGGGUAUGGUGACACAAACUGUGUGGAGAAUCCUUGGGGGGGGGGAAGGCCCACGCGGGGGGGCAGGGGUGGGCACUGUGAUCCUGGGUACGGAAAGGCCUGUCCUGAGGCCAAGGCGGCGGUAAAUGGCGUGGCUGACCGUCCUGCAGGCACCGGGGGCGGUGGGGGUGGGAUGCGCCGAGGCACGACUGACGGGGGCCCGCUGGCCUCCGAGGCGGAGUAGGGCAGGGGGGCAGCGGGCACUGGUUCGGGCACCCUGGGGGGCAGCGGGGCUGGAGCUGGGGCCUGCGGAAGUCUCUGCCCCUUCAGCACCAUCUCCUGGAGCUUCUCAAUUUUAACUCUGCGCAUGUGGGCCAGUUUCCGCUUGCUCUGGUAGACAUCGAUGAAGGAGUCGAGAGGAAGCUCUCCAUCGAGAAACUUCUCUGCCAUGUUCUGGAAGCAGCAGGAGAAACCCGAUUACAGGGAAGGUCAGCUGUGAGGGAAGGCGCUCCCUCACUACCCGGUGCGCAGGGAGAGGCAGCACCCAGCUUCCUCCCAACACCUGUCCCCUUCUGCUAUCUGCCACCGCUCCAUGCUGCUGUCCUCAGUGGGGGCUCUGCCCUGGACAGAUGGGCUGGUCAUGCCUACCCCACCCUCCCAAACCACAGGCCAGACAGGCAGCAGGCCGUGGGGAGAGCCAGCCUUAAGACGAAGCCCCGAGCUGCUGGCUCUCCCGGCCCGGAGAGGAAACCACUGCACCCAGUUCUGACCCUCCCGCGUUAAACCAACUGGAAUCCAGUGUUUCCUUCCUUCCACCAGCCGCAUCCUGACAGACUGGCCCCGUUCGGAGUCAGCAGGACAGAAAUUUGCUCGUGCCCAUCAGGGCUCCCGCCUAAUGGCGAUGGUUAAUUAGACCAAGUAGCCUAACUUGGUAACACACUGCCAGCCCUGAUGCGCUACAACUGCGCAACUUUCAACCCUGACUCAUUUAUCACUUAGUGAGGCUCCAGCCUCAAGAGCCCAGCUGGCCACAUCCCACAGGCCCUGCCCCACCAGCUGACUCAGAGCGAAUGGGAGCUCAGCCACUGGCACCCACAGGACCAGUGCCAAUUCACAGGGCAGCGUGCAUCCCUCACUUGAGGACCAGACCUCAGCUUGGCACUUUCUCUGACCACAGGCCAGGCUGCCCAGGCUCACGUGCAGCUUACACAUGCGGGAGGCACCAUCUCCUGGCCAUGGAGAUGUGGCACUCACUGUCCCCGAGGGAACUGGGCCCAAAGUGGCCAGGACACGGGUAACUGUGCCCUGGGCACUCCACCAAGGCUGGCUGGCUUUACCUCGGUGUCUUCCUCGAUCUUGGCCCCUUCCGCCUGAAGAAGUGCUAGCAGGGUCUCCAAGGAAGCACUGCUGGACUGCUUAUCUGGAAGAGGAGGCGGCGCGAUGAGAGGGGCACGACCCCCAGCCCUUCAAACCUGCUCCUCCGCCUCCUUCCCUCCCCUGCCAGAGGAGGAGUGCCUUGUAACUGGAAAGGCACUAGGAGAGUCAAACCUUCUGAGAGCUGACUUUCCAGGAAGCUGAAAGUGAAGUAAGGCUUAAACUCCAGGGGAGGAACAAGUGCACGGACCAGUGUGGGCACUCGGGGCUGCACAUGCAUCAGCGUGCCGAGCAUCAGCACUGCCCUAGAGAACUGUACGGAACACCCGUUACAUAUGUCCCUUGUAUUUCUGAGUGAUAACUUACAUAAAGCAUACACGUCAUUAAGUGUAUCACGUGAUUUUUUACAUAUGUCUAAACCCCAGCAACCAGCACCAGCUCAGGACAUAGCAUAUUUGCAAAGCUCCCUCAGGCCCACCCCCAGCAACGCCCCCCAGAGGGAGGCCCUGAGCCGACCUGCACCACCCUGGAGUGCCACCCGGUCCUGAACCUCACACAAGCGGCAUCACAGUGUGUGCUCUGCGCCGGCUUCCUGCGCUCACACCAGGUCUCUGAUCUCACCCUAGUGUCAUAUGAAUCUGUCUGAGUCAGCAGCUGUCUCCUUCACUGCUGUGUCCAUUGUGUAAAUAUCACAACUAACCCAUCCCUCUGUAGCCUGACAUCUACACUGUUUCCACAUCUGGCUGUCAGGAAUACAGCUCCAAUGACCAUUCUUGUGCAUCUUCUGAGAGACAUAAAUGCGCACUGCUGCUGGAAACAGACCCGGAGUGGAAGUGCUGAAUCCCAGAGCACGCACAUCUCUCACGUUAGCAGGGACUGCCAAGCAGCUUUUCCGAGGUGGUCUUACCAGUUUACACUCCUACCAGCACUGGGCAGUGCCAGCCUUUUCAACUUUAUUCACUCUGGUGGGCACAUUAAAGUCCAUUUUUGCUGCCUUUACAGAGACAAUGAAAGGGGAUUUGGGCAUCAGAAGUCUCUGUAAACCUCUCUGCAGGGGGUAAUCUUUAACCUUCUCUAAUCUAAGUCUCUUCGAAAGCAAUCCAAAGUAUGGAGGACUCGAACAAUAUCCAACUCCACGCUCUCUUCAAAAUGGCUGUGAAUCAAAGUGUGACAUUAAAAUAAAAUGUUCCAGUGAGGAGUAUUUUUCAGAGUUAAUUCUGAGGGCUAACUUCACAAGAUAACACAUUUGUUGAACCAUAAUUCAGAAAACUGCCUCUUUCCUAAUGCUGUUUGGAGAAGGUGGAGUCUUAUUUAAAAAGCAGUUAAGUCUCUUUUCUAAAUUGGUGACAAUUCUAAAUAUAAACCAUUUCUUUGUGGCAGUAAUUACUGUCUUAAUCUGAAAUUUUCUCAUAAUAAUAUUUCUUUCCUGGUAGUGCAACAGCUUGAAAAUGUGUCCUUCCCUCAACUCUUUAUUCUUUUUUUCUUUAUUUUUGUUUUUUUGGUGAGGAAGAGUGGCCCUGAGCUAACAUCUGGUAUGUGGGCCACUGCCACAGGGUGGCUUGAUGAGCAGUGUGUGGGUCCAUGCCUGGGAUUCGAACCUCCAAACCCUGGGCCACCAAAGCAAAGCAUGCAAAUUUAACCACUACACCACCAGGCUGGCCCUCAACUUUUUAUUCUUGAAAGAUCACCCUAAAAAAGUUACCUAAUUUGGUCUUCUUUAUCUGAUAGGCUUCAAAGAGAACCUGAAGUUCCUGGUAUUUUUGGGUCAAACGUGCUUUCAGAGCAUCCAGUUGGGGCUGGUACAAAAGGUUUCCUUCUGCCAGGCUCCGGUUGCUGGCCAGCGUCAUUUCUUUGUUAAGCUGAACGUUCUGUGUCUGCAAGGAACACACAGGAUGAUGAGAACCAAAGUGUGUUAGUUCAUAGGCAAGUCCCCAGAGGUUCCCACGCCCCACGCCCAGGAGCUGCCACAUCUGCUUCCGUUUGGCUGUGUCUCCAGGCUCGGCCACGUGCGGGGCAGCCAUUCCCAGCCCCAAAGACUCCAGCCUCUCAGAUUUCUAGUUUGGACACUGCCCCCUAUUCUUAAACAGUGAGGCCACUUCCUUUCCAACCAGUUUGCAAGAUGGGCUUUGUCUUGUGACCUGUCGAGGCUUUCGCUUCAGCAGCUGCGCCGUGCCUGAAGUUCCUUACUCCCGCCACUGUGCUUGCAGGAAUAGACAGCUGUAAAGAUUUAGGGCUAGAUUUUUUCAAAACAAGUUCCUGCUACUCCAGAGAGUUAAAGAAUCGCUUUUAUCAGAGGAGGACCAGUCAGUGCAAUGUCAAUUCAGGCUUAACACUCAGGCUUACAGCUCAAGCACGAAAGCCUGAGGCCCCAGGGAUGAAUUCCGUUUACAGGAUUCUGCCCUCGUCCCUCCCCCACCCCAGCACCAGCUCUUCCUGGCUGAGGGGAGGGCCUCAUCUCGCCAGCUCCUGGCCAGUCCCUCAGUGAGGCUGACCCAAGGCUGGGCAAGGGGGACUUACUUGCCCAACAGGGUUUCAUUCUCCAAGUGGGGACACGUUAUUUGGGAGGUAGAGAAGCCCGCCUGGACGUCAGGAGUGAGAGGGAGAAAUGGAAGGUCUGAGAAAAAGGUAAGGAGCUCCUAAUAAAACUUAGCAAAAGUAUAUUAAAGAAAAACCAAAAAACACAAGGCAUCCGUGCCAUGUCCUCCAGCUCCCCUUUCACUCACCUUGAUCGGCUUCCUCCAGCGCGGCCUGCCCACUGCUCACAUUCUGGAUUUGAAGUUUCAACAACACACAAUUCCUUCCCCACACAUGCCCGCGUUUUUAGGAGCUCUUCUUCACCCCGACGCCAGGCAUCUCGUUUUUCCCCUUAAUAUUUCCUACCACCGCACCCAGGCUAUUUUCGCUGCUACUUCCUUCCUCUUGAUAGUUUGAGUGUAGAUUCCUGGCUGCGCUGCCUCUGCUCUGCACCCCUCCCCCCAGCCAUACCCAUUUGUUGCUCAUGCCCAGUUUCCAGCACACUCAUAGAGGCGUGUGCACACACACACACGCACGCACAACUUAGUGAAGGAAGAGAACAAAGGGAAAGCCCUUGGAUGGACGCCUCCACCAGGAGGCCCUGACCACCAGGCUGGGGGCUCUUCAGCAGACACAUAAUCUCUCUCUCCACACAGAUGAGCUGGGUGCAGGGCCUGAAAGAUUAGGCCAGCUCAAAACAGAAUUUAAAUUAAGGAUUUACAUUAAGAUAGAAAAUUAAGCCUCUAGCUCAACACUAAAAUUAGUGCAGUAGAAAUAGUUUCUGUUGGGGGCUGGAAAGACUGAGUUUAAACAGGGUUUCUGCUAUCUCGGGGUUUCGGAACGGCCCUCGGAGGGGGCUCCCCUCACUCGCUCCCCGCCUCCCCCUUACAGCGGCUCGCCCUCCAUGUGCACUGUAUCCCGAGGUCCUGCAGGAGAGUCUUUCCUUCGAUUGUUAAGCCAUUUAAAAGAACAAACAAAAAUAAACCAUUGCACAGCCACUCUGGAAGACAGCUCAGCAACUUCUUUUAAAACUAAACAUGCAACUACCAUAUGACCCCGAAAUUGUACUCCUGGGUAUUUAUCCCAGAGAAAUGAACAUUUAUAUUCACACGAAAACCUGUACGUGAACGUUCAGAACAGCUUUAUUUGUAACAGCCAAAACCUUGAAGCAACCCAGGUGUCCUUCGGCAAGUGAAGGGUUAACCAAAGUGAGUUCCAUCCACACCAGGGAACACUACUCAGCCAUAAAAAAGAACCAACUGUG